UUCCUGUCCCAGUGGUCUGGGUGGGGCUUGAGAUCCUGAAUUUCUAAUGAGCUCCCAGGUGACAACCUGACUCACUGUGCCAGAGGA
rnacentral:miRNA from 1 species